rnacentral:rRNA from 1 species
UACGGAGGGAGCUAGCGUUGUUCGGAAUUACUGGGCGUAAAGCGCACGUAGGCGGCUUUGUAAGUUAGAGGUGAAAGCCCGGGGCUCAACCCCGGAAUUGCCUUUAAGACUGCAUCGCUUGAAUCCGGGAGAGGUGAGUGGAAUUCUCGGUGUAGCGGUGAAAUGCGUAGAUAUCGAGAGGAACACCUGCGGCGAAGGCGGGUAGCUGGGCCGACACUGACGCUGAUGCGCGAAAGCCAGGGGAGCGAACGGG